AAGUUUUCGGAUGGAAGUUAAAUUGACUGAGCGGCGGACGGGUGAGUAACGCGUGGGUAACCUGCCUCAUACAGGGGGAUAACAGUUAGAAAUGACUGCUAAUACCGCAUAAGCGCACAACAUCGCAUGAUGCAGUGUGAAAAACUCCGGUGGUAUGAGAUGGACCCGCGUCUGAUUAGCUAGUUGGUGAGGUAAAGGCCCACCAAGGCGACGAUCAGUAGCCGACCUGAGAGGGUGAUCGGCCACAUUGGGACUGAGACACGGCCCAAACUCCUACGGGAGGCAGCAGUGGGGAAUAUUGCACAAUGGGGGAAACCCUGAUGCAGCAACGCCGCGUGAGUGAAGAAGUAUUUCGGUAUGUAAAGCUCUAUCAGCAGGGAAGAAAAUGACGGUACCUGACUAAGAAGCCCCGGCUAACUACGUGCCAGCAGCCGCGGUAAUACGUAGGGGGCAAGCGUUAUCCGGAUUUACUGGGUGUAAAGGGAGCGUAGACGGCGAAGCAAGUCUGAAGUGAAAGCCCGGGGCUUAACCCCGGGACUGCUUUGGAAACUGUUUUGCUAGAGUGCUGGAGAGGUAAGUGGAAUUCCUAGUGUAGCGGUGAAAUGCGUAGAUAUUAGGAGGAACACCAGUGGCGAAGGCGGCUUACUGGACAGUAACUGA
rnacentral:rRNA from 1 species